rnacentral:rRNA from 1 species
GAUGAACGCUGGCGGCGUGCUUAACACAUGCAAGUCGAACGGAAAGGCCCAAGCUUUCUUGGGUUCUCGAGUGGCGAACGGGUGAGUAACACGUGGGUGAUCUGCCCUGCACUUUGGGAUAAGCCUUGGAAACUGGGUCUAAUACCGGAUAGGACCAUCGUUUAGUGUCGGUGGUGGAAAGUUUGUCGGUGUGGGAUGAGCUGGCGGCGUAUCGGCUUGUUGGUGGGGUAAUGGCCUACCAAAGCGCCGACGGGUAGCCGGCCUGAGAGACUGUACGGCCACCUUGAGACUGAGGGGAGGCCGAGACACCGACGCGAGGGAGAAGUGGGGAAGAUUGACGAAGCGGCGCCAGGCGGAUGCAGCGAGGCUGCGUGGGGGAUGACGGCCUUAGGGUGGUAAACUCAUUUCGCAAAGGACGAAGCGUUUUGUGACGGUACUUGGAGAAGAAGCAACGGCUAACUACGUG